UACGUAGGGGGCAAGCGUUGUCCGGAAUUAUUGGGCGUAAAGAGCUCGUAGGCGGUCCAUUAAGUCGGAAGUGAAAUCUCAGGGCUCAACCCUGAAAUUGCUUUCGAUACUGGUGGACUUGAGGCAGGUAGGGGAAGGUGGAAUUCCUGGUGUAGCGGUGAAAUGCGCAGAUAUCAGGAGGAACACCGGUGGCGAAGGCGGUUCUCUGGGCAUGAUCUGACGCUGAGGAGCGAAAGUGUGGGGAGCGAACAGG
rnacentral:rRNA from 1 species